rnacentral:ncRNA from 1 species
GUGCGUUGGAUUAUGACUGAACGCCUCUAAGUCAGAAUCCGGGCUAGACCGACGCAUGCCUCGUCGCCCGUUUGCCGACCCGCAGUAGGGGCCAUUUGGCCCCCAAGGGCACGUGUCGUUGGCUAAGCCGUCGUGGCGGAAGGGUCACGGUGGCCGUUGAAUUACAAUUCCGAUCGAGCGGCGAGCUGAAUCCUUUGCAGACGACUUAAAUACGCGACGGGGUAUUGUAAGGGGUAGAGUGGCCUUGCUGCCACGAUCCUCUGAGAUUCAGCCUUUGUCGCUCCGAUUCGU